rnacentral:rRNA from 1 species
ACUCCUACGGGAGGCAGCAGUGGGGAAUAUUGGACAAUGGGCGCAAGCCUGAUCCAGCCAUGCCGCGUGGGUGAAGAAGGCCUUCGGGUUGUAAAGCCCUUUUGUUGGGAAAGAAAACCUGCCGGUCAAUACCCGGCGGGAAUGACGGUACCCAAAGAAUAAGCACCGGCUAACUUCGUGCCAGCAGCCGCGGUAAUA